rnacentral:lncRNA from 1 species
UAAAGAUGAGUCUAGCCAUUCAGAUUUUACAAAGAGUGGUAAAAAUAACGCGGAUUAGACUCUGAAUGUAUGAUCCAUUACAUGAUUACCAACCUCCUAAGUGAGAUAUAACAAGUCAAGAUUAAGUUCAAAUAAGCAAGGUUAAGCUCAAAUCAUCCAAAUUUCGAAGUGAGGGAUUAUACGAGUGAUCUAGUCAUGAAUUUUCCUGAAGUCCCAAGUUAUCCUUAAACAAUGCUAAAUAGUCCCAAGGCAAUGAAAUCAAGCAAGGUGCAAUUCCCUAAGAAAAGCUCAUAGUUCCCAUACAGCAUUUUGACUCAAUAAAAACAGACACAAUUUGACUCGAUAAAACAAACUAACAGACUCAAGAAAACAUCAAAAUGAAACAUAAGAAAAGCAAACUGCAUCAGUAGACUAAUGACACCUCCCCCAGACUUAUUUCACACCGUCUCGGUGUGAGAAUAAAUCCAAAAGAAGCGUCGGACUGACUCAAAGAGAAGCAAAAUAAAGAAAAGAAAAAAAAUGGUCUAUAACAAGGAAAAUAGAGAGUGUUACGCUGCUCAGUGCUGACGUGGUGUACUCUCACUAGAGCUGUGAGCCUGGCCUGGCUCCCUCCUACUUCUGCUAAGACGUGCAGCAGUACCACUCGGGCCAGUAGUAUCCUGACUAUGCUUGCGGCGGUUCUCCUGUCCAAUGGCUAGCCCAGGUGUGGU